rnacentral:rRNA from 1 species
GACGAACCGUCCAAACGUUAUUCGGAAUCACUGGGCUUACAGAGUUCGUAGGCGGUCUGGAAAGUUGGGUGUGAAAUCCCUCGGCUCAACCGAGGAACUGCGCUUGAAACUACCAGACUCGAGGGAGAUAGAGGAAAGCGGAACUGAUGGUGGAGCGGUGAAAUGCGUAGAUAUCUGGAGGAACACCGGUGGCGAAGGCGGCAUCCUGGACCGGCAUUGACGCUGAGGCGCGAAAGCCAGGGGAGCAAACGGG